AAAACUUUCAACAACGGAUCUCUUGGUUCUGGCAUCGAUGAAGAACGCAGCGAAAUGCGAUAAGUAAUGUGAAUUGCAGAAUUCAGUGAAUCAUCGAAUCUUUGAACGCACAUUGCACUCCUUGGUAUUCCGGGGAGUAUGCCUGUUCGAGCGUCAUUA
rnacentral:rRNA from 1 species